GCCGUUCUUAUGUUGGCCAGCCUGGCAUGUGCCGCUGAUGAAGGACUGAAAAAACCCAAGGGAACUAGGAACCGAACCUGGGGAGGUGCUGACGCCAUAUCAAACUCGUAGGAGGGAGGGAGGGAGGAUAAGAGAACUGCGUCCUCUGUUAACAAGCCCCAAGGUCCAGCUUUCCCUCCCUCCCGAGGAGGAGGGAAACUGUGCAGACAGCAGUGCUGACGUCAUGCUAAUUUGUUAAUUUUUAGUUUGGAGUUUUGUUCAACAGUUCGGCUUUCAGUAGCAUUUUUUUUAAACAGGGUUUGUUUUGGGGUGCCUGACCUUGUCGAUAGCAGACAUAAAAUGCUUCCAACCACAUGGGGGUUUCUAUAGGCCAUUGCUCUGUGCCUCUCUGAGGGGGCCAGGUUCUGGCUGAUGGUCUCCAGUAGGCUAGAACUCCAUUCCCUUUGACUGAUGUCACGAUCUAAUACAUUUAUAUCAGCCUGGAUAGCUCUGGGGAGCCAUAGGGGCUCCCACCAGAAAAUACAACAGCCGGAGAUCUAUAACACAGAUGCUGCUAAAGUCUUACCAGCUUGGUGUGUUCUUUUGAUAAUUACUUAUAAAAUGGGGAGUCAAUGUAAACAAUGGCAUAAAUGUUUGCCUAUGCUAGUGCAGACCCAAGUACUCUCAUACAACCACACGUGGUCAAUGACCCAAAUGGGAAUCUUAAUAUUUUGCUUUAUGUCCCCACAUCAAGCAAGGAAAACUUUGCCAUAAGAAUAACACCCGUUAGGGGACUAUAAUUACUGUAAAUGGCUAUUAGUCCAAAUCAGCAGUGCCAAAUUUAAAACUAGCAAAUUAAAAAUAAAACAAAAAUUGAUAUAAUUUUUAUUGGGUGACUUAGAAUGAAGUUACCAUUUGUGUCAAAACAUAUCUAACACAUGGCACAUCUAGUAUAAUCAGGUUCCCUUUUAUAUCUUCAAAAUUUUACUAAAGGGCUUGUAAAAUCAAAUACUACUUUAUAGUUAUGAAGCUUUAGCAUAGAUUAUAUUAAAUUGAGCAAGUAAUUGUCUUACAAGUUACUUAUUGUUAUUUGACAAGUUUCUUUACUGGACUGAUCAUGAUUAUCUUUACAAUAAACAUUACCAUACC